GACGAACGCUGGCGGCGUGCUUAACACAUGCAAGUCGAGCGAUGAACCCGGAGCUUGCUCCGGUGGAUUAGUGGCGAACGGGUGAGUAACACGUGAGUAACCUGCCCUUGACUCUGGGAUAACUGCGGGAAACUGUAGCUAAUACCGGAUACGACCCUCGGCGGCAUCGCCAGGGGGUGGAAAGAAUGUUGGUCAAGGAGGGACUCGCGGCCUAUCAGCUAGUUGGUGAGGUAACGGCUCACACAGGCGACGACGGGGAGCCGGCCUGAGAGGGUGACCGGCCACACUGGGACUGAGACACGGCCCAGACUCCUACGGGGGGCAGCAGUGGGGAAUAUUGCACAAUGGGCGCAAGCCUGAUGCAGCAACGCCGCGUGAGGGAUGACGGCCUUCGGGUUGUAAACCUCUUUUAGUAGGGAAGAAGCGAAAGUGACGGUACCUGCAGAAAAAGCACCGGCUAACUACGUGCCAGCCGCCGCCGUAA
rnacentral:rRNA from 1 species